GACGAAUGCUGGCGGCGUGCUUAACACAUGCAAGUCGAACGGAAAGGCCCUGCUUUUGUGGGGUGCUCGAGUGGCGAACGGGUGAGUAACACGUGAGUAACCUGCCCUUGACUUUGGGGUAACUUCAGGAAACUGGGGCUAAUACCGGAUAGGAGCUCCUGCUGCAUGGUGGGGGUUGGAAAGUUUCGGCGGUUGGGGAUGGACUCGCGGCUUAUCAGCUUGUUGGUGGGGUAGUGGCUUACCAAGGCUUUGACGGGUAGCCGGCCUGAGAGGGUGACCGGCCACAUUGGGACUGAGAUACGGCCCAGACUCCUACGGGAGGCAGCAGUGGGGAAUAUUGCACAAUGGGCGGAAGCCUGAUGCAGCAACGCCGCGUGCGGGAUGACGGCCUUCGGGUUGUAAACCGCUUUCGCCUGUGACGAAGCGUGAGUGACGGUAAUGGGUAAAGAAGCACCGGCUAACUACGUG
rnacentral:rRNA from 1 species